rnacentral:rRNA from 1 species
AUACGGAGGGUGCAAGCGUUAUUCGGAAUCACUGGGCGUAAAGGACGCGUAGGCGGGUUGGCAAGUCAGAUGUGAAAUCCUACAGCUUAACUGUAGAACUGCAUUUGAAACUGCUAACCUAGAGUAUGGGAGGGGGAGAUGGAAUUAGUGGUGUAGGGGUAAAAUCCGUAGAUAUCACUAGGAAUACCGAAAGCGAAGGCAAUCUUCUGGAACACUACUGACGCUAAGGCGUGAAAGCGUGGGGAGCAAACAGGAUUAGAAACCCUUGUAGUCC